rnacentral:rRNA from 1 species
UACGAAGGGGGCUAGCGUUGCUCGGAAUCACUGGGCGUAAAGGGCGCGUAGGCGGCGUUUUAAGUCGGGGGUGAAAGCCUGUGGCCCAACCACAGAAUUGCCUUCGAUACUGGGACGCUUGAGUGUGGUAGAGGUUGGUGGAACUGCGAGUGUAGAGGUGAAAUUCGUAGAUAUUCGCAAGAACACCGGUGGCGAAGGCGGCCAACUGGACCAUCACUGACGCUGAGGCGCGAAAGCGUGGGGAGCAAACAGG